AUUGAACGCUGGCGGAAUGCUUUACACAUGCAAGUCGAACGGCAGCACGGGGGCAACCCUGGUGGCGAGUGGCGAACGGGUGAGUAAUACAUCGGAACGUGCCCGGUCGUGGGGGAUAACGUAGCGAAAGUUACGCUAAUACCGCAUACGAUCUGAGGAUGAAAGCGGGGGACCUUCGGGCCUCGCGCGAUCGGAGCUGCCGAUGUCAGAUUAGGUAGUUGGUGGGGUAAAGGCCUACCAAGCCGACGAUCUGUAGCUGGUCUGAGAGAACGACCACCCACACUGGGACUGAGACACGGCCCAGACUCCUACGGGAGGCAGCAGUGGGGAAUUUUGGACAAUGGGCGCAAGCCUGAUCCAGCCAUUCCGCGUGCAGGACGAAGGCCUUCGGGUUGUAAACUGCUUUUGUAUGGAACGAAAAGGCUCUGGCUAAUACCUGGGGCUCAUGACGGUACCGUAAGAAUAAGCACCGGCUAACUACGUG
rnacentral:rRNA from 1 species